AAUCAUCAACCUUACUGUCUUUGUUGACGGUGUAGGCUUGGACUUGGGGACCUUGCCGGCCUUUCUGAGGUCGGCUUCCCUUGAAUGUAUUAGUCGAGCGCCCUCGCUCCGAGACGUGUGAUAAUUAUCAUUCACUGAUCGACGAGGGCUGUGCUAGGCUUCUAACCGUCGCGUUAGUGACAAUCUUGACA
rnacentral:misc_RNA from 1 species